UAGUUAAUAAAUAGGCAUAUGCCAUAAAUACUAUACGUUUGUUACUUACUUUGCCAAACAAAAUUUAUUUGGUUAUUUGGGACUUGUCUUAAUGACUCGACAUGGAUAAAUUAUGCGUGUCGUGAGGUAGAUUUCGGAGCUGUUGCGGUGACCUUUACUGGAAGUAUCGUCUGCAGUAAAUACUUACUUCCUGUAAGCAACUUCUGUGGUAUAUCCGACAAGUGCGAAGCUUUCUCAAGGUGAAACCGAUACGUGAGAAAAUCUCAGGGGAGACGCCUUCAUCAGCAUUUACAACAAGAUUGAUCAAAUGCGACAGUUAGAGCCGUUAUAAACCACACGUCGCGUUCCCAAGGCCAGGCUGUCAUCGAACACCUGCAUGACAUAAGCGAUCAUGGGUUUUCCGCGAGUACGAAUCAAAGUCAACCGUAAGCACACAAUCCUACAAGCUUCCUUUAUUGCGAUUUAAAAUGGCAACCCACCACCACUUCCAACAUGUAAAAUUCUUCAAAUCACCGUAAUCAAAACCGGACUAAUGACAUCAGCGACUCUAAUACCAGUUAAAAUAAUCUAGACAGUAAAGAAAGCACCUAAAUGAAGCAAAGCUGACAUCGAAGCAAACCCAACCCGCAAAAUAAACAAAUUAAUCGUCAUGCAGCUGCGAAAGGAAUGACCCGCCUUGAGGGUGUGUGCGCGCGGAUUUAAGCCGAGUAGGUGGAGGAGGACGUAGUGCCACCGCGGCCAGUCCAGUUGGUAUGGACAAACUUGCCAGGUGCAUCCAUGAGUUCGUAGGUGUGGGCGCCGAAAUAGUCGCGCUGGGCCUGCAAACGCACAAGCUUUAAAAAAAUGGAAUGGUCUUAAAAUACCGAUUCUAACCUGGAUGAGAUUGGCCGGCAGCGUGGCCGAGGCGAAGCCAUCGUAGAAGGACAGGGCCGACGACAUGGCCGGGACGGGAAUACCGUUUAGGACGGCGGUCGACACCACCUGGCGCCAUCCAUCCUGCAAAAUGACGCCGAAAUUGAAUGUGAAUCUUGUGAUUAUCGAACGGAUCCAUCACGACGUUAUUUUAAAACAAUUCUCUAACUUUCUGGAAUUUACCAAAACAAUUCAAAAACUGUUUCAGCGUAAAAAACAAUGGUAUCAACAAAUACACAAAAACAUUCAAAAACCACUGAAACUGCAGGUGCGGUCAAUU